UAUGUUCGCGUGCACGGCAGGUACGGAUUCCUUGGUUCGUACAUUGGUUGGUUAUUUUGUGCUAACACCAGUUUAUUGCGCUUCGAUAUCUCGCGUUAUUUAACUUGGGGUGUAAGCCUGAAAGCUAGGUUUCAGUCGUGAGCUAUGUGGAACAUGUCUGCAUCGAAAUGGGAGCCGGGUCCUGCUGCGACUGGGGACAGCAAUACCGACAUGCAGUAAUGAGGAUGGCACCAGUAUAAAGCAACACACUCCAUGCACUAAACAGAAGCUGCUGCCUGCUACAACAAGGUCAUUGUGUGCAUUUUGGCUGCUACUACAAGAGUCUGUGCCAUGUACAUCUUGGUCAUCACGGGAGCCCCCAUCUACACCAACAGGAAGGGGCUGGAGCUGAAUUCGCAAGACCACGAACAAAGAAGCCAUUCCAGAAUUAUUUUGGUGAGAUAUCAAGUCUACGGACGACUGUUUCAAGAGUGAAAAGAGCCUACGCCAUCAUUCCACCAGCACGGAUAUUGGCCGAGUCAUCCAGGUACCUCAACAACAGAAAUUAUUUGUCUUCAGAUGUACCUGCAACCUCUGAACAAGCACAGAUGACGCUGGCUAAGAGUGUUCUGUCAGCUUGCCCUUCCUUAGUGAGCUUCCUGGCCUUGCCAAUUCUUGCCAAGUAUAAUUUUGUUUCAAUGAAUGCAAGCUUCUUCAUUCCACACUUUUGUUAGAGAUCAUUCCUAUUCCUCAUACAAACAAUAAAGGUCAACCGAUUCUUUGCUCAUACUUAAUGCCAGUCACUGUCUAGUAGCAUAACAUAUGUGUAGCAGUUCUUUCUAGUGUAUGUUGCCAUGUGCAAUUCCUCUCCUGAAAUAGCUGAUGCGGCAUUGG